rnacentral:lncRNA from 1 species
AGUACUUCCUGUUCUCGGCUAACCCUGGCGCUGGGCCGGGGGCUGGAGAGUGACCGUGGUCUGAGUGACCUGGGGCGGCUGCGUGGGCCGGGCCCCGAAACUACCUCAACACCCUGUCCACGGCUCUGAACAUCCUGGAGAAAUACGGCCGCAACCUUCUCAGCCCUCAGCGGCCUCGGUACUGGCGUGGUGUCAAGUUUAAUAACCCUGUCUUUCGCAGCACGGUGGAUGCUGUGCAGGGGGGCCGAGAUGUGCUGCGAUUAUAUGGCUACACAGAGGAGCAACCAGAUGGGUUGAGCUUCCCCGAAGGGCAGGAGGAGCCAGAUGAGCACCAGGUUGCUACAGUCACACUGGAAGUACUGCUGCUUCGGACAGAGCUCAGCCUGCUAUUGCAGAAUACUCAUCCAAGACAGCAGGCACUGGAGCAGCUGUUGGAAGACAAGGUUGAAGAUGAUAUGCUGCAGCUUUCAGAAUUUGACCCCCUAUUGAGAGAGAUUGCUCCUGGCCCCCUCACCACACCCUCUGUCCCAGGCUCCACUCCUGGUCCCUGC